UACGUAGGGAGCGAGCGUUGUCCGGAUUCAUUGGGCGUAAAGAGCUCGUAGGCGGCUUGAUAAGUCGGAUGUGAAACCUCCAGGCUCAACCUGGAGUCGCCAUCCGAUACUGUCAUGGCUAGAGUCCGGUAGGGGCCCACGGAAUUCCUGGUGUAGCGGUGAAAUGCGCAGAUAUCAGGAGGAACACCGGUGGCGAAGGCGGUGGGCUGGGCCGGCACUGACGCUGAGGAGCGAAAGCUAGGGGAGCAAACAGG
rnacentral:rRNA from 1 species